AUUGAACGCUGGCGGCAGGCUUAACACAUGCAAGUCGAGCGGAGUGAUGGUGCUUGCACUAUGACUUAGCGGCGGACGGGUGAGUAAUGCUUAGGAAUCUGCCAUUUAGUGGGGGACAACAUUCCGAAAGGAAUGCUAAUACCGCAUACGUCCUACGGGAGAAAGCAGGGGAUCUUCGGACCUUGCGCUAAAUGAUGAGCCUAAGUCGGAUUAGCUAGUUGGUGGGGUAAAGGCCUACCAAGGCGACGAUCUGUAGCGGGUCUGAGAGGAUGAUCCGCCACACUGGGACUGGGACACGGCCCAGACUCCUACGGGAGGCAGCAGUGGGGAAUAUUGGACAAUGGGCGGAAGCCUGAUCCAGCCAUGCCGCGUGUGUGAAGAAGGCCUUUUGGUUGUAAAGCACUUUAAGCGAGGAGGAGGCUACUAGUACUAAUACUACUGGAUAGUGGACGUUACUCGCAGAAUAAGCACCGGCUAACUCUGUGCCAGCAGCCGCCGCCGUAA
rnacentral:rRNA from 1 species